UUUUCACCUGAUGCCAUCCACCUAACCAACAGGUAGUUUCAUCAAUCAAUACAUCAGAUCAAAGUGCUCCGAUUGAUGAAGAUCAACAAAGUUUUGACAACUUUUCCCAGUUUUCUGGGAAAGUUUUACAACAAAAAUGGCUGUCUCCAAGUUACCAACUCAUCACCUAGAGAACUGUAUGCUGGGAUAGCUCAUCACUUAGAUAGCAAAUUUGAUUGGCUGAAUGCUCCCAAACCAGUCAAGUGAUACAAACUAUUUUUAUGCACAGCGACCUCAUAUUUAACAGGCAUCAUUGUCAUAGCAACCUAUUACAGUUGUCCUGGCAACGUACAUGCCUCAGAAUAUUCUAAUUAGAAGCCCCCAGCCAGCAGUUUUCGCCCUGGCUAUGCACAGAUUGUUUGUUAGGAAGUGUACUUCCUAGCUUGGGGCACUAGUUUCUUUACGAUUUUCUUCUGACAUCCUAAUUAUUCCCAUUACAUCAUGCCUCUGGGCAGUCAAGAAAACACAGCAGGGAAGUGCUGGAUUUUCACACCUGUCAUAAAGUGGGGAGAGCGUCUAUAUUCUUAUACAGGGGAAAUAUUUUAAAUCAAAACAAAUUGUGGGAGGGUGGAUUUUUUUUCUUUAAAAAAAAAGAUUUUAAAUACCUUACUGAAAAAAUCUAGCACACCUUGUAGUGUAGGCUUACCUAUUUUUAGAGAAAAAUUAUUUCCCUCAUUUAACACAAGGAGCGCUUUAAAUCCCACGCCUGGACUCUGUGUCCCCUCUUUCACUAAAACUGACACCUGCAUGGUUGACAUACUUAUCAGCAGAGGGAGAGAGAGAGAUACCUAAAUAACUGGGAGGAUAUAUUCUGUCUAUCUGAUAAAGUCACAUACAUGUAUAUAUACAUUGCAUAUUGAUGAUAAAACUUGAACAAACCUUAACUGCUAGUCUGACACAGAGAAACACACAUUUGCAGUGUUACUUUACCCUGAGUGAAAACAUCCUGGAAACCUACUCUUUAUUUCCUCAACAACCCGACUGCUUCCUGUUUAAAUAACCUUAUUUCAUGCACUUGUAGAUUUAAUCAUAGCUUAUACAUUUCUCCGGCAGAUGUUAUGAUAUCUUUCCAUGAUGUAUAUUUUUAAAGAUUGAUAUUAAACUGUCACUGAAAG
rnacentral:sRNA from 1 species